AUGGGCCAGAUGCUCAUCGAUGCUGAUAGAAAUCGGCACAGCUCCAUUCAUGUUACCCCCAUACCACCAGUCAAUGGAGCGAUGACCGUUUACACCAGCAGAGCAGCUGUUCUUUGCUUCUACAAUGCAAGAGCUAUGGAUGGGGAGAACCUUUCAGAGCAUCUGCCCAGGUUAUGUCUCGCUCUGGGCACUGCUAUCAGUCCCUCGCUGUUUCUAAACACCCAAAACGCAACCUUUUUUUUUCCCCUUUGGUUUGGUUGUUUUUAUUUUUUCUCCAAUCAGUCUAUCACUAAGAGAGGCUGUAUUGGCUUUGACCCGAUCACUGGCAAAUAUAAGACCCUUGUAAUGAAUCAAUUUCAUUUGAUGCUGGUGAAACACCAUCUUGCCCAGGCUAAAGAAACAUAAACAUCUGUUUGCCGUUCACUUUGAACGUGGACAUGAAUCAUGUGUUUUCUGAACAUUCAGGGGCCUCAUUCAAAGCUGAUGAAAAACAGGGGGAAGUCUUUCAAUGGACUCCAAAAGGCUUCUGAUCAGGCCCCAUCGGCAUUGGCCUGUGGAAGUUUUAAUUACUACUUUUUGCCCCUAAUCAUUGAAGCAAAUGGUCACAUGCGUAACAUCCUUGCUUUCAUUUAAAGGGGCAUUGCCAAUUUUCACAACACACCUAGAAAUGUUUUCACUGUUUCUUGAAAACGGAUUAAGCAGUUGGUUUUUUUUAUUCACAUAUUCCUCUACAGUGCUGAAAGCCCGAAACACAACAACAGUGGGUUAGUGCAAGAGAAAGAGAAAAUGACUAUAAACAGAAAGCAAAACUGACCUAUCUGAAUUCAGAGUGAUCAGAUAAUAUUGACAAUAACAUUAGGAUUUGGGGGUUUGUUUACAUAUAUUUCAGUUUUAAUUAUCUGAUGCAGCAUUGCCAACUCUUGCAAUUUUACUGCGAGUCUCACAAUAUUUGGUGUUUUUUUCUUAAAGCCCCAGCUUCUGGAAUCCUGUGAUUACAUGAGAAUCUCAGCUAUUGUUAACAAAAAAACCCAAAACCCUAAGCUUCUACCCUUCGUAGUUGUGGGGAAAAGCUUGAGAACAUGACCCUAACAACUCAAAAAUGGAGUCCCGUCCCCCCCAAUGUAUUUUUAAUCCCAGGAUUUUUAAGCAAAGCUCAUGAUUUUGGGGGCCAGCUAAUCUAUGCUGAUUGACACGAGGUGAGGAUCUGGGCAGUAAGCAAGCCAAUGGGGUUGUACUAAUUAAUAUCACUACCAAUAGGGCCUGUGAUUUUUAUUUUGACAGAGUCUCUUUUAAGAAGUAAGCUCUAAGGCCUGAUUCUGAUUUCAUUUACACUGGAAAAACCAGCAGGAAGUACUAAAGACAAUGGGGCUGAAGCAGUGUGAGAGCAGAUGUAGGUCCCACAUCUGUCUGUCCAGCUGCAAACACACAUGUAACUAUAUCAAAGCCAGGCUGAAGGCGGUGGGGAGCGAACAAUGGGGUUUUAUAUCAGCAGAGGCUGUUUGCUAUCAGCACCACUUGCUUCCUGUGGAUUUGUACAGCGGAAAUAAACCGUAUUUAUGGCUGUACA
ensembl:lncRNA